UCCCAACUAAAACAAUGUCAUAGAUCAAAUGAGAAGAGUAGUAAUAACAUCAUAAGAGCUACUAACCUUGAGCCCUUUAUAUUGGACCGACCCUGGACAAGGAAUCUUACAUAAAUUAUCUCAUUUGGUCCUCACCACAGUGAAAAGACUACUAUUGUUCUCAUCUGAUAGAUGAGAAAACAGAGUCUGAGAGGUCAGAUUGUUUGCCCACAUGUAGCCAGUGCUCAACUACAAUUUAAAUAUGACCCCAAAGCUCAUGUUUCUAUAUGUUUCAUUAAAGCUGCAUUUCGGAAUAUCUAAAUGUAGCAUUUCAAGGAUGGGAGAAAUCACUUUCUGGAACAACUUCACAAAGAGGCUGGUAUUUGUGUUGAAAAUGAAGGGUGAGCUGAAUGACGGUGAAAUUGGAUGGGACAAUGCAGCAGGCACACAAGCCGGGAAGAUGGGGCAAUAGCCGUGUCUGUGGUUGAGCAUUCCCAGGAUCCCAUAAGCACAGAAUUUCAGUGGAUCCACGGUGCGUAGAGUUGACUGGGACUAGUAUGAGUGCGAAGUCAGCCUGCUGUGUCCACUACUACGAAUGUGGGGGUGCUGCCUAUUACGAGAGCCGCUCUUUUCAUUUGAAACAGCUUGCUUUGAUGCAGAAAGAAGGGACCCCACAUUGUCAUUUUGCACUGAGUCUUAAAAGUUCUGUAGCUGGCCUUGUCUGGAAGAGAUGAUAAGAAACCAUCUACUUACUC